rnacentral:rRNA from 1 species
GUUAAGCGACUAAGCGUACACGGUGGAUGCCCUGGCAGUCAGAGGCGAUGAAGGGCGUGCUAAUCUGCGAUAAGCGCCGGUAAGGUGAUAUGAACCGUUAUAACCGGCGAUACCCGAAUGGGGAAACCCAGUGUGACUCGUCACACUAUCAUUAACUGAAUCCAUAGGUUAAUGAGGCGAACCGGGGGAACUGAAACAUCUAAGUACCCCGAGGAAAAGAAAUCAACCGAGAUUCCCCCAGUAGCGGCGAGCGAACGGGGAGGAGCCCAGAGCCUGAAUCAGCAUGUGUGUUAGUGGAAGCGUCUGGAAAGGCGCGCGAUACAGGGUGACAGCCCCGUACACAAAAGCGCAUGUGCUGUGAGCUCGAUGAGUAGGGCGGGACACGUGGUAUCCUGUCUGAAUAUGGGGGGACCAUCCUCCAAGGCUAAAUACUCCUGACUGACCGAUAGUGAACCAGUACCGUGAGGGAAAGGCGAAAAGAACCCCGGCGAGGGGAGUGAAAAAGAACCUGAAACCGUGUACGUACAAGCAGUGGGAGCACAGGUUUACCUGUGUGACUGCGUACCUUUUGUAUAAUGGGUCAGCGACUUAUAUUCUGUAGCAAGGUUAACCGAAUAGGGGAGCCGGAGGGAAACCGAGUCUUAAUUGGGCGUUAAGUUGCAGGGUAUAGACCCGAAACCCGGUGAUCUAGCCAUGGGCAGGUUGAAGGUUGGGUAACACUAACUGGAGGACCGAACCGACUAAUGUUGAAAAAUUAGCGGAUGACCUGUGGCUGGGGGUGAAAGGCCAAUCAAACCGGGAGAUAGCUGGUUCUCCCCGAAAGCUAUUUAGGUAGCGCCUCGUGAAUUCAUCUCCGGGGGUAGAGCACUGUUUCGGCUAGGGGGCCAUCCCGGCUUACCAACCCGAUGCAAACUGCGAAUACCGGAGAAUGUUAUCACGGGAGACACACGGCGGGUGCUAACGUCCGUCGUGAAGAGGGAAACAACCCAGACCGCCAGCUAAGGUCCCAAAGUCAUGGUUAAGUGGGAAACGAUGUGGGAAGGCCCAGACAGCCAGGAUGUUGGCUUAGAAGCAGCCAUCAUUUAAAGAAAGCGUAAUAGCUCACUGGUCGAGUCGGCCUGCGCGGAAGAUGUAACGGGGCUAAACCAUGCACCGAAGCUGCGGCAGCGACACUCAGGUGUUGUUGGGUAGGGGAGCGUUCUGUAAGCCUGUGAAGGUGGCCUGUGAGGGUUGCUGGAGGUAUCAGAAGUGCGAAUGCUGACAUAAGUAACGAUAAAGCGGGUGAAAAGCC